rnacentral:lncRNA from 1 species
GAGAGAUUCCCGUGGCCAGGGGCCAGGUGAAGGAGGGGCAGGGGCUGGGGGAGCCCACAGCCCCAGCUCUGGGGCGGGGGAGGGCGGGGACCCGGCUCACUGCCUUCCUGCCUUCACUGCUGCUCCGGUAACUUACCCUCCGUGGUGGGACAGCAGGCGCCCGCCCCAGUGGUGCCCCAUCCCCCAGCACGUUAUAAAGGAUUUGUGCAAGGUUCAAAAGGAGUUUGGUCGGGAAAGUGAAUUUUUUCGCAGUCUUUUAAAAGCAACCCUGUCUUCUGCUGAGUAUGUCCCAGCAGAUUUGAGGACUCUUUUCUCGUGUUUAAUAACUCAAACAGAGUUUUUAGUAUGGGAGUGUUCUUGGAUAAGGGAGAUAAGGGACAAGUUUCCUGAACUUUGGGUAAAUCCAGAUACCUCACUCGAUUCAUAUGGGGCAAUGAUAUCAGUAAGCCAUUUAUGCGGGAAUGACCAUUGGGAUUCAGGUCAAAAGCAGGCAGAAAAGUUACCAAGAGAAGCUUUGCUGCUGAGUGCAAAGGCAGCAGAGAAAGCAUUUUUUAAUUUGAAACCUAGUGGCCCUGUUGUUAACUAUUUUUCUAUUAAGCAAGAGCCUUUAGAGUCUUUUUUGAGUUUUGUAGAUUGGCUGCACCAAGAGGUAGAUUCUCAAGUGCCGGACGAAACGCUCCGGCGAGGCAUCAUCACUGUGAUCGCAUGACAGAAUGUGAAUGAGGCUUGCCAAAAUGCUAUCCUCAGCCUACCCCUCAGUCCGGAGCCUACCCUACAAAACAUGCUGGACAUUUUUGCACACAAAGUCUCCAUUCCUGCAAAAGAGACUUCCGGGUGCCUCCGAAAAGGGUUUCUAUAGCUGAAGCUGCCACCACCGAUGCUGCACCACUGGCAGCUGCAGCCACCCCGCCGCGUCGCUUUCCGGGACCGCCCCCAAAGGGACCGAAGCAAGGAACAGCGUGUCUUCUGUGCAACCAGAAGGGACAUUGGGCACAACACUGCCCAAUAAAGGACGAAUUUUUACAAUUUAAAAAUCAAAAACAGGGACAAGGGAUUCCCC